AUUGAACGCUGGCGGCAGGCCUAACACAUGCAAGUCGAGCGGAUGAAGGGAGCUUGCUCCUGGAUUCAGCGGCGGACGGGUGAGUAUUGCCUAGGAAUCUGCCUGGUAGUGGGGGAUAACGUCCGGAAACGGGCGCUAAUACCGCAUACGUCCUGAGGGAGAAAGUGGGGGAUCUUCGGACCUCACGCUAUCAGAUGAGCCUAGGUCGGAUUAGCUAGUUGGUGGGGUAAAGGCCUACCAAGGCGACGAUCCGUAACUGGUCUGAGAGGAUGAUCAGUCACACUGGAACUGAGACACGGUCAAGACUCCUACGGGAGGCAGCAGUGGGGAAUAUUGGACAAUGGGCGAAAGCCUGAUCCAGCCAUGCCGCGUGUGUGAAGAAGGUCUUCGGAUUGUAAAGCACUUUAAGUUGGGAGGAAGGGCAGUAAGUUAAUACCUUGCUGUAUUGACGUUACCAACAGAAUAAGCACCGGCUAACUUCGUG
rnacentral:rRNA from 1 species